rnacentral:rRNA from 1 species
UACGUAGGGGACGAGCGUUGUCCGGAAUUACUGGGCGUAAAGGGCGCGCAGGCUGUAGAUCAAGUCAGCUGUGAAAUGUCUGGGCUUAACCCGGGCAUGCGGUUGAAACUGAUGUACUGGAGUGCUGUAGAGGCAAGUGGAAUUCCCAGUGUAGCGGUGAAAUGCGUAGAUAUUGGGAAGAACACCGGUGGCGAAGGCGACUUGCUGGGCAGCAACUGACGCUGAGGCGCGAAAGCCAGGGGAGCAAACGGGGAUUAGAUA